AGUGAACGCUGGCGGUAGGCCUAACACAUGCGAGUCGAACGGCAGCACAGUAAGAGCUUGCUCUUACGGGUGGCGAGUGGCGGACGGGUGAGGAAUACAUCGGAAUCUACUUUUUCGUGGGGAUAACGUAGGGAAACUUACGCUAAUACCGCAUACGACCUACGGGUGAAAGCAGGGGAUCUUCGGACCUUGCGCGAUUGAAUGAGCCGAUGUCGGAUUAGCUAGUUGGCGGGGUAAAGGCCCACCAAGGCGACGAUCCGUAGCUGGUCUGAGAGGAUGAUCAGCCACACUGGAACUGAGACACGGUCCAGACUCCUACGGGAGGCAGCAGUGGGGAAUAUUGGACAAUGGGCGCAAGCCUGAUCCAGCCAUACCGCGUGGGUGAAGAAGGCCUUCGGGUUGUAAAGCCCUUUUGUUGGGAAAGAAAAGCAGCAGGUUAAUACCCCGCUGUUCUGACGGUACCCAAAGAAUAAGCACCGGCUAACUUCGUG
rnacentral:rRNA from 1 species